CCGGGUGUAGCUCAGUUGGAAGAGCGCGUGCUUUGGGAGCAUGAGGCCGCAGGAUCGUGACCUGUCACUCGGACCA
rnacentral:tRNA from 2 species